UAGUUUUCAACAAUAGAGCUCAAUAAAACUAAUUAGCAAUAAUGGAUAUUGUGUGUAAAGAAUAUUAAUUUACAUGCAAAAAUGCCCAAGGGAAAUCUCACAACCUGAGUUCCCAGCAAAAUUUCUAAUCGCAUCUAUGUCCCUGUGAAUAUUUUAAUUGCUUCUAUGCAAUACUCUAUACAAAUAUACAAAAGCUGAAAACUAAUAUAAUCAGAACAAUAGA
rnacentral:misc_RNA from 1 species